rnacentral:rRNA from 1 species
AGAGGUCUCGAGCGUUGAUCGGAUUUAUUGGGCUUAAAGGGUGCGUAGGCGGUCCUGUCAGUGCCUUGUGAAAUCCCAUGGCUUAACCAUGGAAUGGCUCGGUAGACCACAGGACUUGAGGUUGGUAGGGGUCGCUGGAAUUCUAGGUGGAGCGGUGAAAUGCGUAGAUAUCUAGAGGAACGCCAAAGGUGAAGACAAGCGACUGGGCCAAUUCUGACGCUGAGGCACGAAAGCGUGGGUAGCGAACGGGAUUAGAUACCCCGGUAGUCCACGCCCUAAACGAUGUGCACUAGAUCGUGGAGGCUCUGACGCCCCCAUGGUCGAAGUUAAAAUGCUAAGUGCACCGCCUGGGGAGUACGGUCGCAAGGCUA